rnacentral:rRNA from 1 species
GACGGAGGAUGCAAGCGUUAUCCGGAAUGAUUGGGCGUAAAGCGUCCGCAGGUGGCAGUUCAAGUCUGCUGUCAAAGACCGGGGCUUAACUUCGGAAAGGCAGUGGAAACUGAACAGCUAGAGUAUGGUAGGGGCAGAGGGAAUUCCUGGUGUAGCGGUGAAAAUGCGUAGAGAUCAGGAAGAACAUCGGUGGCGAAGGCGCUCUGCUGGACCAUAACUGACACUCAGGGACGAAAGCUAGGGGAGCGAAUGGG